UCCCUUGUGGCUAAGUUGGUAAAGAAUCUGCCUGCAAUGCGGGAGACCUGGGUUCGAUCCCUGGGUUGGGAA
rfam:Ovis aries breed Texel chromosome 1, whole genome shotgun sequence.